UUCUCUGUCUCUUUUUCUCUUUCUGUCUUCUUACGUUUUUAAAUUCCAAGAUCGAUCGUCGGACGUAAAACCGAUAAUAAAACUCGUAUAAAAGGAUGCAGAUCGUAACGUUCGACAGACGUCGAGCUUGAAGUUUCCUAUCCUUCAUCGAUAGUUUAGAGAAGAAUAAAGAAGGAGAAAAAAAAUUUGUGCGGUUUUCUUCGUAAUAAAAACGAUUCUAUUAUCCCGAGAUAAAAAAAUUUUCCAACACCUUCGAGAGUGGACGAUUGCGAUCUGGUUCGAUAGGAAGGCGCUAACACGUUCACACGAGGGCGUAUCGAUAGUGACACGUUCGAUUACUUUGACCAACCCGUCCACUUGCAUUCUCCAUACUCGGGAACGUCAACUUGGCAGCGGCUUUAUGCAAAUUCGUCGUCCACCAACGAGAACCAUAAAAUGCAAGACCUCAAUAAACACCGGCCUUAACCCGAUCCACUAUAAAACGAACAAUAUAACAUAUGUUUCCUUUUUAGCCUCUCGGAAAUAACCAUUCUCCUAUUGAACGAAGGAAUCUAUCGAUGAGGCAACAAACGAGAGGGAAAUAGACAGAAAGAAACAGGCAGAGAGAAAGAGAGAGAGAGAGAGAGAGAGAGAUGAAGAAGGUCAGUUCUUUCAGUGAACAAGGCAAAAAGUAGUGUUUCUUCCAUUCAUUCGAUAGCUUCAAGACCUUUACGUUUUACAUCCAGACAAGUAUCCAGACACGAACUAAUUAGUUCUUUCUUGCUAAUCGACGAGUUUCUUCUUGAUCGUGCCACCUCGUUAACGCUCGUGCUCGUUGGAUUCGAUCUAACUCGAUCAAACGACGAUGUAUAUGUAAGCUCGUUAUCGAAGGGAUAGUCGAGAUUAAAUUCUUCGAGCAAUCCAUCGACUCAGGGAACUUUUAAUUAUCACCGUUAGGUUGUAUCUUCACAACGAAAGAUAUAUCGUUCAUGUUGAUCGUAUUCCCGAUAGGGAUUUCAAUCAGUAUUCAAUUUGUCUUUCGAUGCUCGAAACAAAGUGUGAUUUCACGUAUAGCAGCUAUAACGACUAGGCGAUCAGUAAUUAGUCACCGACAGGUUACCUUGUCGUUCUGUCGUAGAUCCGUUCUUAACUGAAAGAAAAUUCAUGGUAGGUGCUCGUUACCGUUCGAGAUCUUUCGCGUUUAUUUCUAUUUUGAAAGAAGUCAGAUGAUCAUCCUAUAACUCAUUGCACAGGUGUUGAAUCGAAGAGCAAAUGCGAGCAGCUGCGAUGAUUAUGUACAGCCCGGAGGAUGUUUCGGGUGUAUCGAUAACAAGAAGUUUAAUUUAUACAAGUCCGAUAUUAAUUUUUCAAAUAAAAUUAUGAAAUUGGGAUAAUCGAGUUUCUCGAUUUUUCUCUCUCUCUCUCUCUCUCUCUCUUUCUUGAAAUUGUCAUUAUUAUCGAGGAUAACCAAGGAAUUCGCAACAUUUUUCAUUAACAUUCUUGGAUAUCAUUGGUUCGCCAUUUAUGAAUCACAUAGAAUAUCCAUGGGAGGAAAACUCAUCACGUCAACGAUGUUCUUCUCUCCAAGAAUGUCCAUAUCGCCGAAAUAGCAGUAACCUAACAUAGACGACUCUCCGCGAAAUAUCUAACUGGCAAAUGUUAGUAAACCACGUUCGAGAACAGUCUGGGAUAGGUAAAAAGGUCGUUGAUCCUCUCUUAGACGACGUGACCCUUUACGAGCUUGCCAACAUACGUCGUCCUGCUGACUUAAACUGGAAGUUUCUAUUCGCUUGCUGUAAUCAACAGUGCUCGACGCUGAUGACGAGCUCAGCGAAAAACGAGUGACCGUCAUAAACAA